rnacentral:rRNA from 1 species
UACGUAGGGUGCGAGCGUUAAUCGGAAUUACUGGGCGUAAAGCGUGCGCAGGCGGCUUUGCAAGACAGAUGUGAAAUCCCCGGGCUUAACCUGGGAAUGGCGCUUGUGACUGCAAAGCUGGAGUGCGGCAGAGGGGGAUGGAAUUCCGCGUGUAGCAGUGAAAUGCGUAGAUAUGCGGAGGAACACCGAUGGCGAAGGCAAUCCCCUGGGCCUGCACUGACGCUCAUGCACGAAAGCAUGGGGAGCAAACAGG